UGGGUUGGAUAAAUAUAUUACUGAGGCAAUAUUUGACAGUCAGUUACCCUCCUUGUCACAAACCCUUCCCUUUUUCUCAGUUUUGGGUUAUCUAAUUUCACAGAUCUUUGAAGAUUACCAUUUGACAGGGGAAAUGACAGAAAUGUCACUGCAAUAGGAAUAAUUUAUACCCUAAUGUGAACAACAUCAGCAACUUUCCAUCUUUAUGGUCACGACAACAGAAUGGUAUGUCAGUAUAUGUGUGUUGACAGACAUAACGAACAGCUGGAGGUAAAACUCUUGACAAAAAACAAUGAGGUGGCAGGUCUAAGGCAUGGUUCAGCACAGGCAUGGCUAUGUGGUUAAGAAGUUUGCUUCCCAACCACAUAGUUUCAAGUUCAGUCCUACUGCACAGCACCAUUGGCAAGUGUCUUCUACUACAACUCUGCCCUCAGUGGACCAAAACCUUAUAAGCGAAUUUGGUAGACAGAAAGUGAAAGUACCUCAUUCUCUGUGUGUGUGUAUGUGUGCAUGUGUGUGUGUGCGUGUGUGUGUGCACGCAUGUGUGUGUGCACGCAUGCAUGUGUGUGUGUGCAUGCACACGUAUAUGUGUGCGCACGCAUGCGCAUAUGUGUGUGCACGUGCUUGUCUGUGCGCACAUGAAUGUAUUUGUCCUUGUCUUGACAUUGCCUGUUAGUUGUAAAUGAUUAUCCCUGUCAUAAAAGCAAUGUCAUCCAUUUCCAAUAUUUUGCAAAAAUAUGUCUGGCCAUGAGGAAUAUUAUAUUUAUCUUGCAUAUUGAGCUUAAUAUAUCUACAUACCCAUCUAUCUAUCUAUAUCAACCUACAUAUGUAAGUAUGUAUCUCUCUAUCUGUCUUUUUUAA